GAUGAACGCUAGCGGCAGGCCUAACACAUGCAAGUCGAGGGGGAGGUUACUUUCGGGUAACUGAGACCGGCGUACGGGUGCGUAACGCGUAUACAAUCUGCCUUUCACUGGGGGAUAGCCCGAAGAAAUUUGGAUUAAUACCCCAUAGUAUAGUAAUACGGCAUCGUGAUGCUAUUAAAGCUUAGGUGGUGAAAGAUGAGUAUGCGUUCUAUUAGCUAGUUGGAGAGGUAACGGCUCCCCAAGGCGAUGAUAGAUAGGGGUUCUGAGAGGGAUGUCCCCCACACUGGUACUGAGAUACGGACCAGACUCCUACGGGAGGCAGCAGUGAGGAAUAUUAGACAAUGGUCGGAAGACUGAUCCAGCCAUGCCGCGUGCAGGAUGAAGGUCUUAUGGAUUGUAAACUGCUUUUGUAAGGGAAGAAUAAGGGCUACGCGUAGUUUGAUGACGGUACCUUACGAAUAAGCAUCGGCUAACUCCGUG
rnacentral:rRNA from 1 species